GGUGGCUCAGUGGUAGAGUGCUUGCCUUGCAUGCAUGAGUCCUGGGUUCGAUUCCACAGCACCA
rnacentral:tRNA from 1 species